rnacentral:lncRNA from 1 species
GGAUGUUGCGCACACAACACAUGGGUGAGGGGCUCUUGCUGUGAUGUUUCGUCUCACCCCACAGCCUUCACCCCACAGCCUCUGGGGGUCAGUUGUUUUUUCAAACACGCCACGUGACGCCACCACACGCCGCCCUGAUUCAUUUGGAGGUCACAAUAUCCCAAUGUGUCAGAAUGUCUCGACGACGCCGGGGUUAUGGGGGAUGCAUUUGCAAUACGUCCAAAGCAUGAUAUACACGUCGGGUGCAUGCAAUGUGGUAUGGGAUGUGGGGUACGUUUAGAUUCUUUAUAUGGGACAGAGGGCGCAAAGGGUCGUCCAGCUGUGGAGGGCUGGAGAGAGGUGCCGUGGGGGACUCUUUUUAACAUCUUUUACACAAACGCUUUUGUGGCGUUUUUGUGGGUAGGAAUGCAUGUGUUUUGUCUUCUCCCACUUGUGGUGGUGUAAGUUGUUUU